rnacentral:rRNA from 2 species
CGGGCGUUAAGUUGCAGGGUAUAGACCCGAAACCCGGUGAUCUAGCCAUGGGCAGGUUGAAGGUUGGGUAACACUAACUGGAGGACCGAACCGACUAAUGUUGAAAAAUUAGCGGAUGACCUGUGGCUGGGGGUGAAAGGCCAAUCAAACCGGGAGAUAGCUGGUUCUCCCCGAAAGCUAUUUAGGUAGCGCCUCGUGAAUUCAUCUCCGGGGGUAGAGCACUGUUUCGGCUAGGGGGCCAUCCCGGCUUACCAACCCGAUGCAAACUGCGAAUACCGGAGAAUGUUAUCACGGGAGACACACGGCGGGUGCUAACGUCCGUCGUGAAGAGGGAAACAACCCAGACCGCCAGCUAAGGUCCCAAAGUCAUGGUUAAGUGGGAAACGAUGUGGGAAGGCCCAGACAGCCAGGAUGUUGGCUUAGAAGCAGCCAUCAUUUAAAGAAAGCGUAAUAGCUCACUGGUCGAGUCGGCCUGCGCGGAAGAUGUAACGGGGCUAAACCAUGCACCGAAGCUGCGGCAGCGACACUGUGUGUUG